rnacentral:rRNA from 1 species
UACCAUUACAAAUGGCCCCGCGGGCCAUUAGUUAGUUGGUAGGUAACGGUUCACCAAGGGGACGAUGCGUAGCCGACCUGAGAGGGUGAUCGGCCACAAUGGGACUGAGACACGGCCCAGAUUCCUACGGGAGGCAGCAGUAGGGAAUCUUCCGCAAUGGACGAAAGUCUGACGGAGCAACGCCGCGUGAGUGAUGAAGGUUUUCGGAUCGUAAAGCUCUGUUGUUAGGGAAGAACAAGUGCCGUUCAAAUAGGGCGGCACCUUGACGGUACCUAACCAGAAAGCCACGGCUAACUACGUGCCAGCAGCCGCGGUAAUACGUAGGUGGCAAGCGUUGUCCGGAAUUAUUGGGCGUAAAGGGCUCGCAGGCGGUUUCUUAAGUCUGAUGUGACAGCCCCCGGCUCAACCGGGGAGGGUCAUUGGAAACUGGGGAACUUGAGUGCAGAAGAGGAGAGUGGAAUUCCACGUGUAGCGGUGAAAUGCGUAGAGAUGUGGAGGAACACCAGUGGCGAAGGCGACUCUCUGGUCUGUAACUGACGCUGAGGAGCGAAAGCGUGGGGAGCGAACAGGAUUAGAUACCCUGGUAGUCCACGCCGUAAACGAUGAGUGCUAAGUGUUAGGGGGUUUCCGCCCCUUAGUGCUGCAGCUAACGCAUUAAGCACUCCGCCUGGGGAGUACGGUCGCAAGACUGAAACUCAAAGGAAUUGACGGGGGCCCGCACAAGCGGUGGAGCAUGUGGUUUAAUUCGAAGCAACGCGAAGAACCUUACCAGGUCUUGACAUCCUCUGACAAUCCUAGAGAUAGGACGUCCCCUUCGGGGGCAGAGUGACAGGUGGUGCAUGGUUGUCGUCAGCUCGUGUCGUGAGAUGUUGGGUUAAGUCCCGCAACGAGCGCAACCCUUGAUCUUAGUUGCCAGCAUUCAGUUGGGCACUCUAAGGUGACUGCCGGUGACAAACCGGAGGAAGGUGGGGAUGACGUCAAAUCAUCAUGCCCCUUAUGACCUGGGCUACACACGUGCUACAAUGGAC